GUGAAAUUCACUUCAGGUUUCUGUCACAGACUUCAACACCAGUCGGUAUCGAUCGCCACUGAAACAGCAACAGAGUAAGAUAUAAUGAAUUUUGUUCUCCUGACUGCCGUCAUCUUCACUCUGGCCCUCCAUCACCAGGCACAAGGCACAAGACAACCUUGUCAGAAUAAAAACAAAAACAAUGGCUAUAACAGAUUUGUCCACAGACACAUCCUGAACGACACUGACUUGGACAGAAAUUCCAAAGCUUCAUGGGAAAAAUACCUGAUGAACCAAAAAGACCUGGACGGGAAACCACUCUGCGGCAGAGUUAAAACACCCCGACAGUCCUUCAUCAAUGAAUCAGCAGAGAACGUUCACCAGGUCUGUGACAAAUGUGUUCACCAGAGGAGGAAUGUGAAGUCGAACUUGUGCAUGAGCCAGGACACUAUGACUGUAUAUGAUGUUAAAUCUACUUUGAAUGAUGGAGUUUGCAAAGUCACAGUUGUAACUUGUACGAAACGUCAAGUGGUUUUAGCAUGUGAUGUAGUUGAAGGCAAGUGCCGACCUGUCCAUUACGAUGCAAAAUGUAGCGCAAAUGUGAUAAUUGAAUGCUGCUCCUGAGAGUAAGUGACUUUAAUGGAGGGAUGGUUCUCCCUUGUUUGCAGCUGUCAGGCUAAUUAUUCCCUGACAUCUGAAGUUUCUAUCCAGCUUUGCUAAAUGAAUGAUUUUUGCUUAUGAGAAUAUAAAAGAAUAUUGAGGAUCCUUCUUGUUCUUUAGCCACACAUUCUGUCAGAUACAUGUUAAAGCCUGCUGCAACAACAUCCUGUGAGAUGAGCAUGAUGCUUUAAGAAACCAUUGUAAGAGAGAAAUGACUUUCCUCAUGACUGUAAUAGAAAGACAACUAUGAAUUGAAGUUCUAUUAAUCUAGCUGAAUUCUGUUGUCAAACUGUAUAUUAAGCAUCAUGUUCUGUGACUGGGUUUCCAUUUUAAAGGUGCAAUAUGUGAGAAUUAUAGUUUAAAACAUUCAAAAAAUAACUAAAAUAAUCAUCUGACUAUGAGGAGAGAAUAGAUCUGACAUUGUGUCAAAGACGUCUCUGUAUUCUGUUGAAGAUUCAUCCACUGUAGUUAGCAUGCUAACCAGCUAACCCAGGUCAGAAAACAGUUAAAAACUCCUGUGCUAACAGAGGCAACAAGCUAAUAGUAGCUACAGUUGCGACUAGAUUAAAAGAAU